rnacentral:rRNA from 1 species
GAUGAACGCUGGCGGCGUGCCUAAUACAUGCAAGUCGAGCGAACAGACGAGGAGCUUGCUCCUCUGACGUUAGCGGCGGACGGGUGAGUAACACGUGGAUAACCUACCUAUAAGACUGGGAUAACUUCGGGAAACCGGAGCUAAUACCGGAUAAUAUAUUGAACCGCAUGGUUCAAUAGUGAAAGACGGUCUUGCUGUCACUUAUAGAUGGAUCCGCGCUGCAUUAGCUAGUUGGUAAGGUAACGGCUUACCAAGGCAACGAUGCGUAGCCGACCUGAGAGGGUGAUCGGCCACACUGGAACUGAGACACGGUCCAGACUCCUACGGGAGGCAGCAGUAGGGAAUCUUCCGCAAUGGGCGAAAGCCUGACGGAGCAACGCCGCGUGAGUGAUGAAGGUCUUCGGAUCGUAAAACUCUGUUAUUAGGGAAGAACAAAUGUGUAAGUAACUGUGCACGUCCUGACGGUACCUAAUCAGAAAGCCACGGCUAACUACGUG